GGUAGUCCACGCCGUAAACGGUGGGUGCUAGCUGUGGGCCACAUUCCACGUGGUCCGUAACGAAGUUAACACAUUAAGCACCCCGCCUGGGGAGUACGUCCGCAAGGCUAAUACUCAAAGGAAUUGACGGGGGCCCGCACAAGCGGCGGAGCAUGCGGAUUAAUUCGAUGCAACGCGAAGAACCUUACCUAGGCUUGACAUGCAUUGAAAACUGUUAGAGAUAACAGGUCCGCAAGGGCUUUGCACAGGUGGUGCAUGGUUGUCGUCAGCUCGUGUCGUGAGAUGUUGGGUUAAGUCCCGCAACGAGCGCAACCCUCGUCCUAUGUUGCCAGCACGUUAUGGUGGGAACUCAUGGGAUACUGCCGGGGUCAACUCGGAGGAAGGUGGGGAUGACGUCAAAUCAUCAUGCCCCUUAUGUCUUGGGCUUCACGCAUGCUACAAUGGCCAGUACAGAGGGCUGCAAUACCGUAAGGUGGAGCGAAUCCCAAAAAGCUGGUCUCAGUUCGGAUUGAGGUCUGCAACUCGACCUCAUGAAGUCGGAGUCGCUAGUAAUCGUAGAUCAGCAACGCUACGGUGAAUACGUUCCCGGGCCUUGUACACACCGCCCGUCA
rnacentral:rRNA from 1 species